rnacentral:tRNA from 1 species
UUUUUAAUUGACAUAGACCAAAUCAUCUAGUAA